CCUACGGGCGGCAGCAGUAGGGAAUCUUCGGCAAUGGGGGGAACCCUGACCGAGCAACGCCGCGUGAACGAAGAAGUUAUUCGUAAUGUAAAGUUCUUUUAACAGGGAAGAAAGAGAAAUUUGACGGUACCUGAAGAAUAAGCUCCGGCUAACUACGUGCCAGCAGCCGCGGUAAUACGUAGGGAGCGAGCGUUAUCCGGAAUUAUUGGGCGAAAAGGGUGCGUAGAUGGCAUAGUAAGUCUUUUGUAAAAAUGCUGGGCUCAACCCAGUAGGGCAAAAGAUACUGCAAAGCUAGAGUAUGACAGAGGCAAGUGGAACUAGAUGUGUAGCGGUAAAAUGCGUAAAUAUAUGUAAGAACACCAGUGGCGAAGGCGGCUUGCUGGGUCGAUACUGACAUUGAGGCACGAAAGCGUGGGGAGCAAACAGGAUUAGAUACCCCGGUAGUC
rnacentral:rRNA from 1 species